GUGCGACUGCUGGGAUUUCAGUUCUGUCUGCACAGGCAAGCUCCUACCUCUAUGGGGCACUUCAGCCCUUGCCAAUCUCUGGAGUGUUGCUAGCUGUGGGCCUGUGUAAAGGUUAGAACCAAUCUAGGGGAGUGUUGUUGUUCGGCAGUGUAAGGCAAACUGGUCUUCAGGGCUGGGGUCAAUUUGAAUUGUAGACUGGUCAAUUCAGAAAGUAAAUUUGAAUAAUAAUUUUAAACAAUUUUAAAUUACUUUUCAAUAAACUGAGGAGUAGAAGCUAUUUAUUUCUAGUGUGUUUUAAAAAUGUAUUUCCUGAAUUGACUGCCUUCAAUUAAAAUUGACCUCAGCCCUGUUGGAUGUUAGAUCUGCACAGAGGCAGUGUUGGAAGGUAAGCUGAACUCAGAUCUGCCCUACGUCUCCCAUGUUACUCUUAGGACGUGACCAGGCAGUUGACAAAUCACAAUGAGACUGCAAAAGAAUAAGCUGACAGUGUGCUGUUGGUGGACAAUCAGUUUGCUGGGACAGAUAUGAGAACGGGUUAAUUGCAACCACGUUUAUUCAGGGUGACUUGUGGUUGACCAGUUAAAUGGACACUAGCUGAUUCCCCUGGUAUAUUGGAAUAUGUUACAGUUGACAAAUCAGGGUCAUUGCUUUUGUUUAAACAAUUACUUUAAACAGUUUCAGUCACUGUCUGGUGAGUCAAAGUAUUUCAAGAUGACAUUUAUGCCCUUAAAAUCACAUUUAUAGACAUUGAUUUAACCAAGCCAAAAUUUGACCCCGAUUUUGGCACAUCUGGAUUUUCUCAUCUGCGUCUGUGAAACGUCAUCAAGCCAAUGAAGUUGAAGGAUAAAAGUGACGCUUGCAAGUCCUUGGUGCAAUAAUUUGUCUUUGGCUAGGUUGCGAUUCUCUAGCCUCGUAUUACCAAGCUGAUUACUGCUGCGGAAUCCGUGAAGCGAAACAGAAUGUAAGCUUGCGAGACUUCCGGAUGGUUGUACGAGGUUACCGAUUCUCUACCCUUCUGUUGUACAACCUCCUGGUGUUCGAGGUUACCCUUUUCCAGAAUUUUGCACUCGUUCAUCCCGCUUCAUGCAAUUUAAAAGUAUUGGAUUGGUGCAACAUAGCUGGAGGGUGUUUUCACCGUAUUUCUGACACCAGUCCAUCCUUUUAAAUAAGGGGGGGUUGCACACUUUGGAAGAAGUUUAAAGAAAAAUAAUGUAGCUCUUGACUAAGGAAUGCUUUUUAGGGGGCAAGUUUAGUUUCUUUGUUACAUUUAACUCACUUCCUCUACUUUGAAUUUACGUGCACGUGUUAUGAGGUUGUCAGGGCAGAUUUCAAGUUUUACUAUGCCUUGGACUGAACUGACAGGUAUUUUUUUUGCUAUCAAAGGUGUUUUUAAAUAGAGUAGUCGUGUGUCUCUUCAAAUAUGUAUGAACCGAACUCUGAUGUAGAACUUGUAUAGAGGCAUGUUUUGAGGUUGUUUUAGUUCAAUUGUGAAGUAAGAGAUCUUCGGGAGGUGGGCUCAGUGUGACGUCAGUUGUCAUUAGCUGACAUUUGACAUGUUAUACAUGUGUCAGGGGUGUUCGACAUAGGCUUAAACCGAGUUAGACACGCUUAGAACAUUCCACUUUUGAAAAUAUUUUUUUUUUAAUUGUUGUUGUUGCAUUUAUUACCUAGAAUAAACAAACAUUUCCUUUUUUAGAUGCCCUGUAGUACACUUUAAUUAUGGUCAAAGGCUGGGUUCGUUCUGUUAGGCUGUAUAGGUGCAAUGUUUAGUGUGGUCUCUUUUUCACAAUGAAACUGCCUAGUGCAUCCAAUAUAAUUUGCACGAAGUGAUCGCUAUAGAAUCUCCAUAACAUUUGUUAGCACUUUGUGUAUUUUAAAAGCCAAUUUUUUGGGGGGUGAAAAGUGAAAAUCUGGCACAUUACCUUUGUAAUACUGAACAAAAAUAUAAACCGGUCCAUUUCUACGAUUUUACUGAUUUACAGUUAAAAUAACUAAAUCAGUCAAUUGUAAUAAAUGAAUUAGGCCCUACUCUAUGGAUUUCACAUGACUAGGCAGGGGUGUAGCCAUGGGUGGGCCUGGGAGGGCAUAGACUCACUCACUUUAUUACACUUGGGAGCCAGGCCCAGCCAAUCAGAAAUUAGUUUUUUCCCCAUAAAAGGGAUUUAUUACAGACCGAAAUAGCCCUCAAUUUCAUCAACUGUCCGGGUGGCUGAUCUCAGACGAUCCCGCUGGUGAAGAAGCCGGAUGUGGUGGUCCUGGGCUGACGUGGUUACACGAGGUCUGCGUUUGGCAGGCCGGUUAGACGUACUGCCAAAUUGUCUUAUGGUAGAGAAAUUUACAUAACAUUUUCUGUCAACAGCUCUGGUGGACAUUACUGCAGUCAGCAUGCCAAUUGCACGCUCCCUCAACUUGAGACAUCUGUGGCAUUGUGCUGUUUGACUAAACUGCACAUCUUAGAGUGGCCUAUUAUUGUCCCCAGCACAAGUUGCACCUGUGUAAUGAUUAUGUUGUUUAAUCAGCUUCUUGACAUGUCAGGUGGAUGGAAUAUCUUAGCAAAGGAGAAAUGCUCACUAACAGGGAUGUAAUCACAUUUGUGCACACAAUUUGAGAGAAAUAAGCUUUUUGUGUGUAUGGAAUAUGUCUGGGAUCUUUUAUUUCAGCUCAUGAAACAUGAAACCAACACUCUUUACAUGUUGGGUUUAUAUUUCCGUUCAGUAUAAUUAAAGUUGGAUCACACCUUAAAUGAAUUGCACGUCAAAAAGCCUGCCAGAUCAUUUGAUAAAGCCUUCACAAACAUGGCACACAUACAUCAGGUUUAUAAAUGAUUUACGAACUUGUUUUGUGUGUGUGUGUGUGUGUAACUGAAACACUUCACAAGGUGUAAUGCCACCUAAUCGUAGUUUAUGAAUGAUUCAUAAAGCCUUCAUGUCUUCUGACCAAAAUGGUGUGACUGUAGACUUUUGGGUGAUCCAAACUUGUAACAUUCAGGUUUAAGUUUCUUUUUUUUUAAGCAAACAUUUCUGGGUGGUUGAUACCGACAACAAUAAAUCCUUGAUUUUUUUGUUGUUGUUAAUAUUGACAAAAUAAGGAAAGUUUUUUUUUUUAGAAAACAAUGUGUAAAUACUUUCUUAAUUAUGUGAAAUUGAUAUUUAUGUGAGUAGUUAAAAGUAAUUUAUUAUUUAGCCUACCCUUGUUAAAGAGGAGUUGUAUUAUCUUAUCCUUGUUCACCAGCCAGUCUAGAGGCCUGGUAAGCAUGCCUUUUUAAAACGUCAUAGGUAAAUGUUCAUGUACAUGUCUAAGUACUACUCCUGUUCCUACUUAUUCUUGUACAUUACUUUGAUUUUUUUUCCAUAGAUGUCACCAGAUUGAGGAAACAAGUUUGAACCAUUAAUCAAGAGAAUGGUGGUAGACUCUAUGUAUGAGUCAAUGCUCCUGUAGGUUGCUCUGCAUCGGAAGCAUCUGCUAAAUGACUCAAAUCUAAAUCUAUGUAUGGUAAUAGCCGUUUUGACGCUUUUGAUAUCAUUUUGAAUUUUACUUAAUUCACUCUGGGUCAUAAGUCUGAUGGAUCAAUGCUGUUCUUACUACAUUCCCCCUCUUAAAUCAGUAUUAUUUUACAAAGAAAAUGAAAGACAAUGUUUGACAUUACUGUAAUGCACCAAUACUCAAUUAGAGUGGGCUGACAUGAACCAACAUAACAAUGAUGAUACAUUGUAAAAUACUCAACAUACUACAACUAUUGUUAUUAUUAUGUCCACCAAUAGUUAGAUUCUGUAUGGUACAUUUAACCUUUUGACCUUAUAUUACACUUAAAUCAUGCACAUUUGUAGCCUACCUAUUAAACCACUGCUGACCACUGCUCUCACGUGCAAGGACGGAUAAUAUUGUGGAUUUUUCUGUUCCUGUUCAUGGAACAAACAUUCUCAAUGGUGUAUGCUCCUCCCUUUUCUACUGUAACUAGAAAGAUGGUUCGACCCACAAUGUCUUCGGGAUCAUCAUCUUCUAUUAAAACUUAAGUGGUGUGAUGUACUUGAUGUGUGUGUGUGUAAUUUGGUCCCAUAUUUUGUUGCUUCUUGAGUUCGAACCGGAACUCUUGACUAGCCUGCAUGCAGUGACAGUGGUUAAAGUAGAGCAUGACCCUCUUAAAUACCUACCGUAAGUUGAAACUAAAACAUUUUGAUGACCGCUCAAUUAGUUUGGAAACCUUCCCCUGUUUGUUGAAGUAAAAGAUGUUGCCUGAAAGAUUUGUGUUGUGGGUUUUUUUCUUGCUCAUGUCCAUUAUAUAUAUUUUUUAAACGGAACUAUAUCUUGAAUUUUCUGUGGACCAUUUAUGCUAAUUAGAAUUUGUAUGGACACUUAUACAACUUUAAACUUUUGCAUGGGCAGCUAGCUAGCUAAAGUUACAUUUGGAUUCGCUUUAUAUAGCCACUAUAGUAGCCUUUAUAGGUCUGUUUAAGAACCACCAGAUUCUCUGCGAUAACAAGCACGAUCAACGAUGCCGCUUCAACUGAAUCUGGCCCGGGCUCGACCUCAGCUGUCACCACUGCAAGCUAGUUUACAUGCUACUGCUUGCACCACCAGCUGUACGUUUGGACCCGGCGCAUCAACCAACCAACACUACACGGGAAUGAGUGUGUUCAUUAGGGACCCGAGCCACUAACCCCACACCUGAGGCGUUUUUGGAGAUAAUGAACUGCCCCUGCACCAAGGCAGCUCUCAGACAUGUUCAGCAGAUUCAAGCAACGGGAGAGGCCAGGUGCCGUAGGCUAUGCUCAGCCACACCACUACCGCCGUGUCUGGGGAGAGGAGACCGGAUGAGUGUGAUGAGCUGACCAGAAACAACCCUAUUUGGGAUGAAGAGCCAAACAAAGUUUUAGUGUGUAUCGAUGGUUUCCAAUAUGAUGACCUUACUGAUGAUGCUUUCUCCAGAUGUGGUCUGCGACGAAGAGGCUGCAAAGGCCUUGUCAACAGCAUCGGAACCCCGUGAUGUCGGCAACGAAUGUUCCAUGCCAAACAACUAUGGUCUCUAGCGUGUAUGUGGUGUGGGACUGUCCUUGUCCUGUUGCUUUUCGCCUGUAACACCCUUUUUAAUACAUAUUAAAGAACCUUAAACACUG